UACAGAGGUCCCAAGCGUUGUUCGGAUUCACUGGGCGUAAAGGGUGCGUAGGUGGCCAGGUAAGUUUGGUGUGAAAGCUCGGAGCUCAACUCCGAAAUGGCAUUGAAUACUAUCUGGCUGGAGGGUCGGAGGGGAGACUGGAAUUCUCGGUGUAGCAGUGAAAUGCGUAGAUAUCGAGAGGAACACCAGUGGCGAAGGCGAGUCUCUGGACGACACCUGACACUGAGGCACGAAAGCCAGGGGAGCAAACAGG
rnacentral:rRNA from 1 species